AGCAUCCUGAGGCCAGAGGUCAGCUCAGAUAUGGUCAGUGCGAUCCUGCACAGGACCAUGGAGGCUGUUAUUGGGGGCCCAGAAAAGGAGGAGGACAGAGAAGAACUGAAGCGGCACUUCCAGAGUCUGCUGGGGGGUCUCCACUUCAGAGAUGAGCAUCACAAUUGUCCACACAACUUUCCAGGCCAUCCUGGAGGAAAAGAAUGAGAAGACAGGGAGGUGUGUCCUUAGUCCUCUUUACUUUUCGUGCUCCAGGUGAUCACAGUUUUUGAGGCAGCAGCACUGAGGGGCCUUUGGACCACCCAGCUGCCCAAGAAUCGCACUGCAGAGUCCAUUCUGGUUGCGUGAGGGACCCCAGGAGGGAGCUGUCAGGGAUGGGCAAGCCAAGCCUGGAGUUGCCCUCCUGAUGCCCCCGGAAGACUUGAAUUUCCUCCUCUGCUCCCUUCCAGGACAGCCUGGGGCGCCUGGGGGGUUUUGACGAGCGCCCCAUAAUCCAAACUUCUCCUCCGACCUCUGCCGUGCAAUAGUCCAAAGGAAGUUUCAGGCACUCCUGGAGGAUGAAAAGCAGGUGAACAGGAAGGAACUGAAGUUGCGCUUCCAUCAUCUGCCGCUCAGAGACCCCAAAUGCUCCGCACCUCCUCCUCCUGCUUAACAUAAGUGUCCGGGAGAUGGCAUCAGAGAUGACAAAUGAGAGCCAGGGACUCUGU